CCAUCAAGGAGGUAGUAUUCCUGCAGGAGUAGUGGACCGGUGACCUGAAGAGCAGCCUUUUUCUGGGUCCUCAGCCUCUUACCCUCGUUAGCCAAGGGAAGUUAUCCAAGCACACAGCAAAUCUUUGCCAUCACUCUGAUGUAUUCUUAAUGUUUCUCACCAUUAGGGUUUCUGCUAUUUUGAAUGCAUAAUAUACUGUCUACUAAAAUUCUUUGAUCUUAACAAAAACAAAAGCACACAAAUGUUGAGUGGUGGGCAGAGACCAUCUCUAUUUGGCUUAGAAUCACAGAUUCACAGAUGUUCAGAGACUUAGAGACUUUAGAGGCAAGGUUGUUUUGGUGACUGUCUUGCAAGUAGCCCACAGAGAUGUGUGUUUUUAUAAACCUUGCUCUCUUUUCCAGCAGUUCAUUAAAAGUAAACCAUCCAAGUCACCUGUUCACUGUGGCUUCCUGUCAGGAGGGACAGUUUAGAUGACUUCUUGGAGCCUGUCAACUCGUACUGCACUGAUGGUAUCAGAUGCAAGCUGGGGAAUUUGGAAUGCUAUCUGCAAUAGUGACAUCUGGUGGCUUCUAAGUUCUACUGCACCUCCUUAAGGCAGGAAAGCAAGCCUGGCUUUUAAGCAGUAUUUGUGAAAAAAUAAAGGAAUUACAUGAGUUCUGGAAAAGGACCUCAGAAAUGGUAUCAUUUAACAAUCUCCACUUGAACGCUUAUGUUACUCACUAUAUUAAAAAUUAUGGUGCUUGUUUCAGGAGCACACAGACUAAAAUUUUGAAAACUACAGAGAUUAGCAUGUGCAAGGAUGACACACAAAUUCGUGAAGUGUUCGAUAUUUUAAAUUUU
rnacentral:lncRNA from 10 species